rnacentral:misc_RNA from 1 species
GACGACAUUAUACAAGUAUGUAUCUUCUCCCAUUCUCAGGCUAUAAAAGUAGCAGGAGCUUAUCUUUUGCAAUAGUGUUCCAAUUGCUAUCUUUCUAAGAGAGAAAGCAGAAAUGGCUGCAGAUGUUGUUAGCUUGAAUAAUCGUCAUGGAUGCUGCAACAAGGGACCUGGUUAUGCCACUCCACUUGAGGCUAUGGCUGGUCCUAGGGAGUCUCUUAUCUAUGUUACUUGUGUCUACACUGGAACGGGAAGAGAGAAGCCUGAUUAUCUAGCCACAGUGGAUGUAGAUCCAAACUCA